rfam:Schistosoma margrebowiei strain Zambia genome assembly, scaffold: SMRZ_scaffold0001544
AUCCAGCCGACGUGUCCCAAAUAGGACGGAACACGCAUCCUGAAU